GAUAAAAUUUGUUGAUUGCUUGUUUCAAAAUGUUCAUAGCUUGUUACUUAUCUUUUAGGAUAUCUUUACUUAGGUAUAUGUAUCAAUUACACUGUAUAUGUCACUUUUUGAAAUGGCACAAUUUGUGGGAUGAAUUCUAUUUUUCUUCGAUACAGAAUUUAGGGAGAGAGUGUUGAGUGUUGAUUGAUUGUUCCUUGACAUAUCACUAAAAGUUCCAAGUAGAAGACCA
rnacentral:misc_RNA from 1 species